rnacentral:lncRNA from 1 species
CUCGUCCAGGUCAGCAGACGCGCGUUCCUGCAGGAAGAGCUUUGUUAUCCCCAUUUUAUAGAUGAGGAAACUGAGGCAUGGAGAAGUUAACCUCUACGGGGCAUUUGGACAUGGAUGGUGAGGGAGAGAGAGGUGCCAAGGAUGGUGACAAGUUCUGGUUUUGCAGAAAAGGAUGGAUGGGCAGCCUUUCCCAAGGCAGCAACCAUUGGGAGAGGACAAGACACACACACCACGUGAGAACACAGGGAGAAGACGUCCGUCUGCAAGCCCAGGACAGAGGCCUCGGAAGAAACCAACCCUGCCAACACCUUGAUCUUGGACUUCCAGCCUCCAGAACUACGAAAAAAUAAAUUUCUGUUGUUUAAGGCA